AUAUCGCCAAUCUGACCGAGAUUCAAGCCAACCCUGAAGCCCAAAGUCCUUCACUGCAGGAGAUGGCGAGUUCAGUCACCGAUUUGUCCCUCAGAGGCUUGACAGCUCUCGAAAGAGUACCAAUCCUGAUCACACCCAAGUCCUCCUCCCCCAGUUGUUUGAUUUUCCGAAGAAAACGGCUUUCCAGAAUUGCAUGUGAUUACUCCUGCUUUGAAGUUAGGGAUGUUAGCUAUCGACCCCCGGGGACCCAGCUCAACCUUCUGAAUGCAGUUAGUUUUUCCCUUCCAGAGAAAAGCUUUGGUCUAAUAUUUGGACGAAGUGGAAGUGGAAAAACUACACUUCUGCAGCUUCUUGCAGGGCUGAGUAAACCAACUUCAGGAUCCAUUUGUAUUCAAAGAUAUGGGAAUGAUGGCAAUCCAAAUCAAUCUCCUGAACCUGUACUCCCUGAGAGAGUUGGAAUUGUCUUUCAGUUUCCUGAGAGGUACUUUAUAGCAGAUAACGUGCUUGAUGAAGUUACAUUUGGGUGGCCAAGACAAAGGGGUGACCUCCAAUUCAAGGAACAUCUUGCUUUGAGACUCCAAAGAGCGAUUAAUUGGGUAGGUUUAAAUGGGAUCUCCUUGGACAAAGAUCCUCAUACCCUUAGUGGUGGCUAUAAACGUCGGCUUGCCUUGGCAAUUCAACUAGUAGAAAUCCCAGAUUUAUUGAUACUGGAUGAGCCUCUUGCUGGUCUAGAUUGGAAAGCACGCGCAGAUGUUGUGAAGCUUUUGAAGGUUCUGAAGAAAGAGUUAACUAUACUAGUUGUCAGCCAUGACCUCAAAGAGUUAGCAACUCUAGUCGAUCGGUCCUGGAGGAUGGAAAUGGGCGGAAUUCUUACGGAAGAGCUUGUGCCAGUUUAAAUCUGGAAAUAUGAUUUUGCCAUCAUCAACAUCAGAUGCUGUGAGGUUUGCCCCUGAUGCUAUCAGUGGUUCGUUUGCGUAUCAUCUUGGCAUAUUAGUGCAUGAUUGUGACGUUAAUGACUAUAUAAGCUUGUCUGCCCAGCUGCCUUGAUUGCUAUAUCGACUGUUUUGACUGUGCAUGGAGGAAUCACCAUGACAGGAUUGCCAGCCAUGAAAUUUUAAGAUUACCCCACUCUGAUUUUCGGAUGUUAAAGUGAGCUGGGAAGGAGAAAGCUGUUGUAGGCUUGGAGACAAAACCCACACAGCCAUCUUUAAUCCCACAGAAAGUGAAAUGAGUUUUUGGUAAAACUUGAUGCAAUUAUGUAUAGUUGUGUAAUUUUCAUCCCGUGUGACUCUAUUCUGUAAAUUUUGAUUUUUAACCGUAAAAACCCUUGACUGGAAAAUUUUCCUUGGAUUUUGUUUUGGGAACUACUACAACUUUACUAUUGUUGGACAGGAGAUGCCCUCAUUUUUCCUUA